rnacentral:rRNA from 1 species
UAGGCUGAAACUACGCCUACAUGAAGCUGGAGUUGCUAGUAAUCGCGAAUCAGCAUGUCGCGGUGAAUACGUUCCCGGGCCUUGUACACACCGCCCGUCACACCAUGAGAGUUGGCAAUACCCAACGUACGUGAUCUAACCCGCAAGGGAGGAAGCGUCCUAAGGUAGGGUCAGCGAUUGGGGUGAAGUCGUAACAAGGUAGC